AUCCCAGAUAGAACUUCUUUUUGGUGUUUAUCUGAUUCAUAGGAGGCCAAAAUUAAAGAUGGAAGCUUUGCUGAUAGCACCUUUUUGUUUUGUUUUUUGGAAGGUGUUUCAAUAGUAACUUACCAUACAACA